rnacentral:rRNA from 1 species
UACGGAGGGGGCGAGCGUUAAUCGGAAUUACUGGGCGUAAAGCGCGCGUAGGCUGUUGUGUAAGUUGGGGGGUGAAAUCCCACGGCUCAACCGUGGAACAGCCCUUGAUACUGCGCGACUUGAAUCCGGGAGAGGGUGGCGGAAUUCCAGGUGUAGGAGUGAAAUCCGUAGAUAUCUGGAGGAACAUCAGUGGCGAAGGCGGCCACCUGGACCGGUAUUGACGCUGAGGCGCGAAAGCGUGGGGAGCAAACAGG